rnacentral:rRNA from 1 species
GUGGGGAAUCUUCCGCAAUGGACGAAAGUCUGACGGAGCAACGCCGCGUGAGUGAUGAAGGUCUUCGGAUUGUAAAGCUCUGUUAAUCGGGACGAAAGAGCCUAGUGUGAAUAAUGCUAGGAAGUGACGGUACCGGAAUAGAAAGCCACGGCUAACUACGUGCCAGCAGCCGCGGUAAUACGUAGGUGGCAAGCGUUGUCCGGAAUUAUUGGGCGUAAAGCGCGCGCAGGCGGAUCUGCCAGUCUGUCUUAAAAGUUCGGGGCUUAACCCCGUGAUGGGAUGGAAACUACAGAUCUAGAGUAUCGGAGAGGAAAGUGGAAUUCCAAGUGUAGCGGUGAAAUGCGUAGAGAUUUGGAAGAACACCAGUGGCGAAGGCGACUUUCUGGACGAUGUCUGACGCUGAGGCGCGAAAGCUAGGGGAGCGAACGGGAUUAGAUACCCCUGUAGUCC